rnacentral:rRNA from 1 species
CGCAAUGGGCGACAGCCUGAAGGAGCAAUACCGCGUGAGGGAUGACGGCCUGUGGGUUGUAAACCUCUUUUGUCAAGGAAGAAAUUCUGACGGUACUUGAGGAAUAAGCAUCGGCUAACUUUGUGCCAGCAGCCGCGGUAAUACAGAGGAUGCAAGCGUUAUCCGGAAUCACUGGGCAUAAAGGGUCUGUAGGUUGCAUAGCAAGUCAGCUGUUAAAGACUAGGGCCUAACCCUAGGAAAGCAGUGGAAACUACUAUACUUGAGUGUGGUAGAGGUAGAGGGAAUUCCUGGUGUAGCGGUGAAAUGCGUAGAUAUUAGGAAGAACACCUAAGGCGAAAGCACUCUACUAGGCCAUUCCUGACUCUGAGAGACGACAGCUA